AAAAUUUGUUAACGCAAUAUCUAAAACAAAUUCUAGAAAGGAGUUGUAACAGAAUUAUUCUACUUAACUGUAUAAUUGUCAGCUGUUUUGAUAAAUAGAUUGUAUUAGCACGAUUUUUAUUGCUUACCAGGAAUAGCUAGGUGACAGUUUUGUUCAUUUGUCGUCGGUCUCCAGUCGAAUGUCGUCGUUAAUAGUUAUCAAAGGUACCAAGAUUAUAAUUUAGUACGCCAGACGGUGUUGAAUUUUACAAAAAAAUAGUCUCCUCUGAAAAUACUGUAUUAGACUUGACCACAGUUUUCCUGGGAUUCCUUGUUUACAUAUUUGUUCAUUGGUAUCUCCUGGCAACCAUCAUGGCCACCAAUGUGAAAACAGAACAAAGGGAUAGAAUCCAAAAAAUGUCUGCUAUCACGUUAACAGGUAAAACUAUAAUAACAAACAUACAUACCAGACUCCAAGGAAAAUUCAUAUCGGAAAGUCCUAACAAAUUGCAAAAUCAUAAGCUCAAACACAUUUAAAGAAUAAAAACAUUGCAUACUCCAAACUGACUUGAUACAAGACUGUCGUUAUGUAGAAAAUGGUGGAUCAAACCUGGGAUUAUAGCUAGCUAAACAUCUCACGUGUAUGACAGUAGCCAAAAAUUCAAUUAUAUAUUAACAACAAUGUGUGAGCAAAACAAACAGACAUAAAAUGUAAAAAAAUCAAAAGUUGGGGUACAGCAGUCAAGAAUGUGUUAUUAUCUUAACCACUACAAAAACAACAAACUAUGCCAAUAAAGAAAGCAAAAUUGAAUGUAGAUACUAUAUAGACAAAAAACAUAAACAAAAAUAAAAAAGACAAGAAUACAAAAUAUAACCAUACCACAAAAGAGGUUAGGAAACAACAACUGCAUGGACUCCAACAAGGAGUCGGCUGAUGAUUACAGUCAUCUUGACUAAUUUGUAGACCUUAUUUUCUGUAUAUUUCUGUAUCUGGUUAUUUACAGUUUUAUCUAUUCAAGUUCGACAAGAAUUGUUGAAAAAAGUCAUCCAAUAGCACAAACUCCUUUAAGGCUUCCACUAACAUUUUCAGCCAUGUCAACUCUUUUUUAUUUCUAGUUCUUCUGAGCUAUUUUGCUAGUUUCUCUCUCAUUCUACGGUUGUUUUCUGUAUAAAAGCCAAAUAAGCGGUAAAAUGGUUAUUCAACUGAAUAACUACUGUAUGGAGGCAACUGAGUAGACUUGUUUCUGUAGAAUAUUUUUGCUAUUAACUCAUUAUCUACUACAAUUUCAUAUAAAAAUACACAUUUUUUUUAUUUUGUGCGAGCGCUCAACCACCAACUCAACCAUGAAAAGUGAUAUCACAGCACAACAUAAUAAAACUGCAAAAUCAGCUGAAAAAAGGCCUUACUCAUCAAAUCGACAACCAAAGACAUGAUUCUAAAAAACGUUUAUUUUGGUCCUUAUAUUACCAUAAUUAUCCUUAUUUAUCAAAAAUUACACUAAGC
rnacentral:lncRNA from 1 species